AGUGGACAUUUUUAUUAAGUGGUUUUUGACCAUUCUUAAUAAACAUCACAUUGAAAUAGAAAACAAACAAACUAGUACAUAUAUAGUGUUCAUGACCAGACACUAUAUUCUUGUUCUUGUGAAAUUAACUCACAGUACAUAAUGUUCCCACUUUAUUCUAGUAGUACAAAUUUAUAUAUUUUAAACACACAACCACAUGGAUAUAUAUUACCUUAUUAUUAUCAUAGCCUUUAAGCUAGAACGUACACACAAGACAUAAUUUAGUUGCAUUGACUCUGGCAUCCCUGUCCACAGUAAUCAGGAGUAGUGCCACAAUAACCAUAUGGACUACAACAUAACCCAUUGGCACACAAAGCUCCACCAGCUUGACUUCCACAUUGUUGUGCAUUUGAUACACUUAGCAACAAUGCUAAAAUAGUUACAACAAGCACAAAAAAUUUCAUCAUUUUCAUUUUUUCUUAUUUUUAUGAGAUAUUUAAUCAGUAAUAUUAUUAGUUAUGGAUGGGAUUUAAGUAGAAGAAUGCAUGUGGUAUUUAUAGUGAGUGAUGUGCCUACUUUUGUUGAAAAGUUUAGGUUCAUGUGGGGGAAAGAAGAAAAUUAGUAAUGUGUGAGAAUGAUAUUUUUAUUUGUUUUAUUUUCUUAUAUAAGUAACACUUCUAUAUUAGACAUAAUAUAUAAACGUGCCUUUACCUUGAUCUCAUUUGACAUAUAUAUCCACUAAUUUUGAAUGUGCACAAUAGAAACUAAAAGUAUUAUAGAUUCAACAAGUAGACACUCAAAUCUUACUUGGCGUCGUAUAUGACAAUUCACAUCCUACAUAGCAUUUUAUAUGACAUCAUACGUGUAUUAUAUGAUACAUGUGUCUACUUGUGCACACACAAAAUAGAAAAAUAUAAAUGUGAGUUAAUACUAAGUUAAAGAAUCUUAUGUUUUUAUUUUAUUGCACACAUAAUAUUAAUUUUUAAAAAUUAAUUGACAAACAUAAUUCGACACGGUAUGUUCCUAAACAUUUUCUUAUUUUCCACAACAUUAGUGGAAAGGACAAAUUGAAAACUUAGAAAAUAAUAAUAUUUUCAAGGCUCCUAUCUCAAAAAGGUGGUUUUUACUAUAAUAGGGAGAAUGAAGUAGAAUCACAACACUACCAUAUUUGUAACAUUCAAAUUUCUUCGCAUAGAUAAUGUUCAGGCGGCUAAGCGAGAAAAAUUAUCUUAUGGAGAAAUUGGGAUAAGACAUAAGUACCCAUUAAAUUAUGAUUGAAAUUUCAGCAACAUUUCCCUUUAAACUCAAAUUUUAUGAUUUUUGUUUUUUACAUUUUUUGUGCUGACAUAACAAUUUCAACCAGAUAAUAAUUUUCUUCAAUGGCUUAUCGGUAGGAUUUUUAGAUAUGAAGAUAUAGUCAUGUGAUACAAUUUACUUUCAUUUGAUUUUUUCUUCGAUCACCUACGAUCAAGCGAUCCAGAUAUAAUACAUAGAUGAUAGACCUAGCCAGUUCCCAUCUGUCAUCUCCAACCUCAUACAGCUGGUGCGUGUGAAUGCAGAUAUAGUCAUGCGAUAAAUUCUUUCAUUGGAUUUUCAUGCCAUGAUCGGCCCCUACCUCUAGUAUCUCUUGGUCAUGGAACAAGAAGAUAAAAUGUUUACUCUUUUUUUUUUGGAAAUAAAAAAGAAGGUGAAACAUAUAUAUAUAAUAUUAGAUUAGUUGUGGAUAAACCAUGUAUGUAGAGAAAAUUAAAUUCUAUAUAAAAAUAGUAGUUUAUUCACAAAUAUCCUGUUUUUCAAAAUAUAAAUAAGAAGAACUUUCACACAUUAAUUUUAAAUAUGCAUAAUUAACUAAUUAGUUUAAAGUGCUUGUGGGUAAAAAAAUUAAUAUAAUAUUUAGAACACAUUCAUUAUAAUUAUCAGGAGAUUCAAAAGACAAAGUAAAAAAAUUGAAAGGUUUUGUUUUCCUUUCACUCGAACUCUCAAAGUUAAUCUUAUGCCCUUUUUUUUAUAUACAAAGUAAAUAAUCUCCUCUCAAGUGAAGAUACUCCAGUACCUGCUGAUGAUAUGCCAGACAGGGAAAAAUUUAUGAUUGUUGAAGCAUGGAAAUAGUCAGACUUCCUAUGUAAAGGUUACAUUUUGAGUGCUUUAUAGGAUGACUUAUAUAAUGUCUAUAGUGCAAUAACAACUUCAAAAGAGUUGUGGAAUGCACUUGAGAAGAAAUAUAAGACAGAAGAUGCAUGCUUGAAAAAAUUUGUGGUCGCAAAGUUUUUAGACUAUAAAAUGAUAGAUAGUAAAACUGUUGGAUCACAAGUGCAGGAACUUCAACUUAUUCUCCAUGAUCUGAUUGAUGAAGAUAUGGUAGUAAAUGAAGCUUUUCAAGUGGCUACAAUGAUCGAGAAGUUGCCUCCUUCGUGGAAUGAUUUCAAGAAUUAUCUAAAGCAUAAGCGUAAAGAAAUGAAGCUUGAAGAUCUUGUGAUUCGUCUCAAGAUUGAGGAAGAUAACAGAAAUGCCGAAAAGAAGUCGUGUAAGAGUUCAACAAUCAUUGGAGUUAAUAUUGUUGAAGAAGCUCCUACCAAAGACAAAAAGAGAAAGAAGUCCAACGGGCAGAAGUCAGAACAGGCCAAGAAGAAAUUCAAAGGCAACUGUUAUAAUUGUGGCAUGGCUGGUCAUAGAUCUUCUGAUUGUCAUGCUCCAAGAAAGGAUAAAUACAAAGGCAAAGGCAAAAGUCAAGCAAACAUCAUGGAAAAAAUAGAAGAUGCAGAUGACUUGUGUGCAAUGAUAUCAGAGUGUAACUUAGUUGGAAAUCCCAAGGAGUGGUUUCUCGACUCGGGUGCUACUAGACAUAUUUGCUCUGCAAAAGAAGCCUUGCAACGUACACUCCUGCUGAGUACGAUGAAGAUUUAUUCAUGGGAAACACGCAACAGCAAGGAUUGCAGGAACUGGAAAAGUAAUGUUGAAAAUGACAUCCGGCAAAGUGUUGACUUUAAACAAUGUUCUGGAUGUCCCUACUAUUAGGAAGAAUUUAGUUUCUGUUGCACUACUCGUUAAGAACAGGUUUAAGUGUGUCCUAGUUAGUCAUAAAGCUGUAAUAAGUAAGAAUGAAAUGUUCAUAGGAAAGGGCUACCUCAAUGAGGGUCUUUUCAAACUAAGUGUAAUGGUUAUUGACAGUAUUAAUAAAAAUUCUGCUUCUGUUUACUUAUUGGAGUUAAGUGAUUUAUGGGAUGCCCGUUUGGGACAUGUAAAUUACAAAGCCUUGCGAAAAUUGGUUAAUCUAGAAGUAUUGCCUGAUUUUAAAUGCGAUAAGUCAAAAUCUGAAAUUUGCGUGGAAAGUAAGUUUUUACAAGUUUGUUGAAAGAAGUUCUAAAACUUUAGACUUAAUUCACACAGAUAUAUGCGAUAUGAAGUCAACACUAUCUCGUGGUGGGAAAAGUAUUUUAUAUCUUUUGUUGAUGACUGCACUCGAUUUUGUUAUGUAUAUUUGCUUAAUAGUAAGUAUGAAACAAUUGAUGCAUUUAAGCAAUACUAAAAUGAAGUGGAAAACCAAUUGAAUCUAAAGAUAAAAAUGAUUCGGAGUGAUAGGGGUGGAGAAUAUGAAUCUCCUUUUGCAGAGAUAUGUUUGGAAUAUGGUAUUAUUCAUCAAACUACUGCACCUUAUACACCACAGUCAAAUGGUUUGGCAGAACGGAAGAACAGAACAUUAAAGGAAAUGAUGAAUGCCUUAAUGAUCAAUUCUUGUUCACCACGAAAUCUUUGGGGGGAAGUCAUCCUUACAGCUAAUAAAAUACUCAAUAGAGUACCCCAUCAAAAAACACAAUCAAUUCCAUAUGAGUUGUGGAAGGGAAGAAAACCCAACUUGAAAUAUUUCAAAGUGUGGGGGUGUUUAGCCAAGGUAGAGGUUCCUUUACCUAAGAGGGUUAAAAUUGGACCCAAAACAAUAGAUUGUGUCUUUAUUGGGUAUGCUGUGAAUAGUAAAGCUUGUCGAUUUUUGGUUCACAAAUCUGAUAAUCCUGAGAUUCAUGUUAAUACGAUAAUAGAAUCAGAUAGUGCAGAGUUUUUUGAAAACAUUUAUCUGUAUAAAACUGAAAGUGAGUCAACAAGUGAAAGACCUAAACGACCACGAGAAGAAUCAAUGGAAAUUAUUCUAACUACUGAGGAACCUAGGCGAAGUACUCGACAACGAAAAUCUGUUUCUUUCGGACCAUAUUUUGUAGCACUAUUGCUUGAAAAUGAGCCUCAAACAUUUAAAGCAGCUAUGUCUUCGUCAGAGUCAACUUAUUGGAAAGAAGCAGUCAAUAGUGAGAUUGAAUCAAUUUUAAGCAAUCACACUUGGGAAUUGACUGAUCUUCCUCCAGGAAAUAAACCUUUAGGAUCAAAAUGGAUCUUUAAAAGGAAAAUGAAACCUGAUGGGACUAUUGACAAAUAUAAGGCUAGACUGGUAGUCAAAGGGUACAGACAAAAGGAAGGUCUGGACUACUUUGACACAUACUCUCCAGUAACAAGGAUAACAUCAAUUAGGAUAUUAAUAGCACUAGCAGCAGUGCAUGAUCUUAAAAUCCACCAAAUGGAUGUAAAGACAGCAUUCUUAAAUGGAGAGUUAGAGGAAGAAAUUUACAUGGAACAACCUGAAGGGUUUAUAGUUCCUGGUAAAGAAAAGAAAGUGUGCAGACUUGUGAAGUCACUUUAUGGACUCAAGCAAGCACCCAAACAACGGCAUGCUAAAUUUGAUCAAAUAAUGUUGGCAAAUGGAUUCAAGAUUAACGAAUGUGAUAAAUGUGUUUACAUUAAAAACGUUAUGAAUGAUGAAGUCAUUGUUUGUUUGUAUGUUGAUGACAUGUUAAUAAUGAGUAAAGAAAUUGACGAUAUAAAUGCUACUAAGCGCAUGUUGUCCAGCAAGUUUGAUAUGAAAGACUUAGGAGUUGCUGAUUUGAUCUUAGGGGUCAGGAUUAUCAAAACUCCCCAGGGACUAGCAUUAUCUCAAUCUCAUUAUAUUGAAAAAGUAUUGGAUAAGUUCAAUUACUUGAAUUUCAAUGUAGUCAAAACUCCAAUUGAUUUAAGUUGUACAUUUAAAAAGAAUGAAGGUCAAAGUGACUCUCAAUUGGAAUAUGCCAGAGUGUUGGGAAGUUUGAUGUAUAUUAUGAAUUGCACGCGACCAGAUAUAGCAUGUGCUAUUAGUAAACUGAGUCGGUACACUAGUAAUCCGAAUCAAACUCACUGGAUGGCUAUGAAACGUGUGUUGGGUUAUCUAAAAUGGACACAACAUUAUGCUUUGCAUUAUAAUAAAUAUCCUGCUGUGAAUGAAGGAUAUAGUGAUGCAAAUUGGAUCACCGGGUCAAAUGAUGUAAAAUUCACGAGUGGUUAUGUAUUUAUACUUGGUGGAGGAGCUGUCUCUUGGAAAUCUUCCAAACAGACAUGUAUUGCUCGCUCCACAAUGGAAUCUGAAUUCAUUGCUUUGGAUAAGACUGGUGAAGAAGCGGAAUGGCUCCGGAAUUUCCUAGAGGAUAUUCCAUUCUGGCCCAAACCUGUUGGACCAAUUUGCAUACAUUGCGAUAGUCAAGCAACAAUAGGUAGGGCAGGGAGCGUUAUGUACAACGGGAAGUCUCGUCAUAUACGACGUAGACAUAACACCAUAAGACAACUGCUCUCUACUGGAAUUAUCACAAUUGACUAUGUAAAGUCAAGCGAUAAUGUGUCAUAUCCACUAACGAAAGGCCUAGUGAGAGAGGCAGUUGAAAGAUCAUCUAAGGGAAUGGGUUUACGGCUUAGGACAAGUCAGCAUGACGGUAACUCUAUCUAGCGGACUGGAGAUCCCAAGAGCUAGAUUCAAGGAGAAAAACAAAGUUGUGGCUGACGGUUCGACAUUGUCAAUUAACUCAAUCCAUUCUCAUGAUGAAGAUAAUGUUCAGGAAAAGGUUAAGACUUUAAGUCUUGUUAAUGAGGUAAUAAAGCUUAAAGAUUUUAAUGAUUUGCUAAGUUUGGUAGAUUCGACCAAAUAGUGUAUCUACGAGAUGACACGGUUAGAAAUCACCUAUGUGAGUGUGAAGUGGAAGCCGCUUCAAAGAGAUUUUUAUGUCAAAAGUCUAUUCUCUAUACACUCAUGAAACCAGGAGGUGUUCAUGGCUGAAAAGAACACAACCGUAAGAAUCAUAAACAGUAAAGGGUUAAUUGUGUGACAUAUGGUUGUCUAGGUAUACACCAAAGUUCAACGGUUCAAAGAUAUCACAUCUACCGAUUGACCGAGUAUAUCCGACAUAUGCUCACUACGGAAAGUCCAAGGGGAAACCUACUUAUCCAGAUGCAAUUAAUCCUUGCUUGUAAAGUACACAAUUGUCCGUGCAUUCCUAUGUUAUAACUAUUCUCCAUCAAUGUGGGGGAUUGUUGGGUAUGUAGCAAGAAUUGAUGGGAAAUAGAGGGAAGGAGAGGAAUUUGAAAAGUUUAGAACUUGAAAGGUUGGGAAUUUGAAAAGUCCUCUAAUGCUUUAAUAAAAAAGUCAAUAGUCCCUCGUCGGUAAUGGAAAUGAAAAUAGGAGAGUUUAAAUAAAUAAACACUCCUAUUAAUUGUUAAAAGGGUUGGAAAGAGGGACCCCCCUCGCGCCGUCGUCGUCAUCGCUCGCUUUGACUUUGGCUUUGGCAAAUGAUCGAUCGAGAGAUAAUUUUUUGGAUAAAUUUGUUUUAAUUAUUUAUUUAAUUAAUUAAAUGGCCAAAAAUUAUUUUCAAUUAAUUAGUUGAUAACAGAAAUUAACCGAAAUGUUUUCAACUUUUUAGUUAACCCGACCCGACUCGGAUCCGCGCGCGUGACCCGUUUUAAAUUCCGUUAUAUUUAAAAAUUCCCGCCACUGUUCUGAAAGGUUGCAACUUUCAGGAACAGUCAAUACCAUUUGAAAGUUUGCAACCUUUCAUUAAUGGUCGUGCAUCCUUUCAGAAUAUAUUAUUCUUGCCUAUAAAUACCAUUCAGUCUUCAGAAUAUUGACUAACGAAUUUUCUGAUCUUCCUUCUUCUUAAAAACACAUAUUUCUUCGUGUACUUUCCUGCUGUGGAUUGAUUCGCUGACAGUAGAGUUUUUGGUAUCUAUACUCUACUGAUUAAGAUCAUUUUACCCUGGGAGGUUAUAUUCCAAAUCAAACCUCGGAUACUAGAGGGAAAUAAUUUCCUUAAGGGGACACUGUGAAUUCAGUGGACUUGAUUUUUUUCCUAAAUUUUCUGAAAGAGUAUUGCAGAUUCUGGUAAGUUUUACAGAUUAAAUUAUUUUUUACAAAUAAAGUUCUGUUCAUCUUAUUUACUGGUUCUAAAAAAUCUCAGUUACUUCGUGUUUCUGAAUGAUUUAUUACAACAAGUAAUUUCUGAUUUUCUUAACACAGAUUGACAACACUAAUUUGUACAAUCAAUUAUUAAUGGUAAAUCAAAGAUCUUGCUAUAUUCAAUACUUUCUUGCAAUUUAAUAAACUCUUCUUCCCAGCGGCGCACCUAGGAUUUUUGUUUAGGAGGUUCAAAAAAUAAAAAUAUAAACGUGUAAAUAAGUCUUUCGAAAUGGGUCCUUUGAAUAAAAAAUGCUUGAAACUAUAAAGGAAAAUAAAUAAAUGUUGAAGGCAUUCAAACCUUGGGCGUGCAACUUAAUAUUCAAGGGUCUUACCAUUAAGCCAUCUAUUUUUAUUUGUUAUUAAGGGGUUCAAAAUAUAUGUAUCUACAAAAAUAUAAAAAAUUUACCUUAUAUAUAUCGUUUUUUUUUUUGCCGAGGGUGUUCGGAUGAAUACCCUGGACCCAACGUGGGUCCGACCCUGCUUCUUCCCCUUUUUCUUCUUGCAAGGAAAGUAAUUUUUUCUGCAGUUAUUACCCAAAAGAUUGCCUUUUGUAUGAUUAGAAAUUCAGAAAGAUCAAAUCUAUUCAAGACUCCACUUGACUAAAAGUUGAGAAAAUAUAUACCAGAAAAAGUUGCAACUAAAUAAGAAUCUUUUAUUAAGUAGUGUUUGCACACUUUAUGUAUACUAACUUUUUAAUUUGUCAAAUAUUAUUGUAUAUUUUGCUUUUUAUUAUAUACUAUAUAUAUAUUAGUCGACUACCACGCCGUUUUGGUCCAUGUAUGGAGUUUGCUCACUGCAGAUCAUGAAUAUUUGCAUAUAUAAAUCACUUAGCAUGUGUGUAUGCUUUAAUUUAUUUAUUGCUGUUUUGUUUCAUGAUGUAGUGAAUUUUGGGUAUUAUUUGGUCUGAGUUUCUUACCAUAUAUAUGUUUAUUUAUUUUAGGAAAAGGUUUAACCUUGGCUAUCCUUUUUUUUUUUUGUAGGAAAUGGUUUAUAAUUGGCUAGUCCGUUUCUUGUGGGGAAAAUUUGUGGAACACAAGUUUAAUACGUUAUCACUUGUGUGAACCUCCCUUGUAUUCCUAGUGAAUUGAUUGAUGUAAUAAAUUCUCUCUAUAUUUUGUACUCUCAUAUUUAUAUAGUGAAUAUUUCAUUCCUUUGUGGACGUAGAUCGAUUGAUCGAACCACGUUAAAUCUUUGUGUCUUUUGAUACAUUUCUUGUUUGUCUUCUUACUCGAGCGCGAUCUAUCGAGGUCUAUCGAAGUUUUCUUUGUUAACUUUCGCAUUACAUCUAAUUAUUUUCGAUCCUAACAGUGAGUAUUGAAUGACUGUACGAUCUUUAUUGAUAUAGUUGAUUAUGUGGUAAUUAUAAUUGUUGACUAUGAAUUGUUUAUGUGUUAAAGUCUGAUCUAUUUGUUAUUUGACUUGCGCGUUGCUUCUUUCUAAUUUGAAUUGGACUAUUUAUUUGAUAUAUAUGUUUAACACAUGGAUGAAAACAUGAUAUGAAAAGUAAAAUUAUUUGAAUGAAUCUAAUAAUACUUAAAUAGUGGACAUUUUUAUUAAGUGGUUUUUGACCAUUCUUAAUAAACAUCACAUUGAAAUAGAAAACAAACAAACUAGUACAUAUAUAGUGUUCAUGACCAGACACUAUAUUCUUGGUCUUGUGGAAUUAACUCACAGUACAUACAUGUUCCCACUUUAUUCUAGUAAUACAAAUUUAUAUAUUUUAAACACACAACCACAUGGAUAUAUAUUACCUUAUUAUUAUCAUAGCCUUCAAGCUAGAACGUACACACAAGACAUAAUUUAGUUGCAUUGACUCUGGCAUCCCUGUCCACAGUAAUCAGGAGUAGUGCCACAAUAGCCAUAUUGACUACAACAUAACCCAUUGGCACACAAAGCUCCACCAGCUUGACUUCCACAUUGUUGUGCAUUUGCUACACUUAGCAACAAUGCUAAAAUAGUUACAACAAGCACAAAAAAUUUCAUCAUUUUCAUUUUUCUUAUUUUUAUGAGAUAUUUAAUCAGUAAUAUUAUUAGUUAUGGAUGGGAUUUAAGUAGAAGAAUGCAUGUGGUAUUUAUAGUGAGUGAUGUGCCUACUUUUGUUGAAAAGUUUAGGUUCAUGUGGGGGAAAGAAGAAAAUUAGUAAUGUGUAUUAGUAAUGUGUGAGAAUGAUAUUUUUAUUUGUUUUAUUUUCUCAUAUAAGUAAUACUUCUAUAUUAGAUAUAAUAUACAAACGUGCCUUUAUCUUGAUCUCAUUUGACAUAUAUACCCACUAAUUUUGAAUGUGCACAAUAGACAUUUAAACUAUUAUAGAAUUAACAAGUAGACACUCAGAUACUACUUAGCGUCCUACAUGACAAUUCACAUCCUACAUAGAAUCCUAUAUGACAUCAUACGUGUAUUAUAUGAUACAUGUGUUUACUUGUGCACACCUAAAAUAGAAAAAUCUAAAUGUGAGUUAAUACUAAGUUAAAGAAUCUUAUGUUUUUAUUUUUAAUGCAAAACAUAACAAACACAUUAUUAUUUUUUAAAAAUUAAUUGACAAACAUAAGUCGACACGUAUUAUUAAUUUUUAAAAAUUAAUGUUUCUAGACAUUUUCUUAUUUUCCACAACAUUAGUGGAAAGGACAAAUUGAAAACUUAGAAAAUAAUAAUAUUUUCAAGGCUCCUAUCUCAAAAAGGUGGUUUUUACUAUAAUAGGGAGAAUGAAGUAGAAUCACAACACUACCAUAUUUGUAACAUUCAAAUUUCUUCGCAUAGAUAAUGUUCAGGCGGCUAAGCGAGAAAAAUUAUCUUAUGGAGAAAUUGGGAUAAGACAUAAGUACCCAUUAAAUUAUGAUUGAAAUUUCAGCAACAUUUCCCUUUAAACUCAAAUUUUAUGAUUUUUGUUUUUUACAUUUUUUGUGCUGACAUAACAAUUUCAACCAGAUAAUAAUUUUCUUCAAUGGCUUAUCGGUAGGAUUUUUAGAUAUGAAGAUAUAGUCAUGUGAUACAAUUUACUUUCAUUUGAUUUUUUCUUCGAUCACCUACGAUCAAGCGAUCCAGAUAUAAUACAUAGAUGAUAGACCUAGCCAGUUCCCAUCUGUCAUCUCCAACCUCAUACAGCUGGUGCGUGUGAAUGCAGAUAUAGUUGUUAUCUUUUCCUUUUUGCAUUACAAGCUUACCCUUUGGCUUAUUAAUAAAGUUUAUUUUAUUAAUUUUUUGUAUUAUUAUCUAGGUACAUUCACUUGGAGGUCAUGAAAUUGGUGUGUUAUAAUUAAUAAAAAGACAAAGCCGAAAACCUCAUUAGACAUAUUUUAUUAAAAAACAAAAAUCAUAUUUUUAAUAAUAUAUUUUUUUAAAAAUAAUUUACUCAUUAAUACGGGUUACAUGCGCAAAACACAUUCCCAAAAACUAGUUUAAUAUUUAGCGUAACAGCACAAUUUAAUCAUUUUUAAGAAUUGAUUAACAAACAUAAUUUGACACAACAUGUAAGUGCUAAGUACUUUCUUAUUUUCCACUAGAUUAUUCGAAAGGACAAACUGAAAAUUUGGAAAAUAAUAAAGUUUUGAAGGAUUCUUAUCUCACAAGGUGGAUUUUGCUAUAAUAGGGAGAAUGAGGUGAUAAAGUGGAAUCACAACACUACCAUAUUUGUAACCUUUGAAAUUUCUUCACAUAAAUAAUGUCCAGGCGGCUGAGCCGGAAUAAUUCUCUCAUUGAAAAAAUAGAAUAAGACAUAAGUACCCCUAAAUUAUGACCGAAAUUUUAAUAACAUAUUUUUGCCAUAUUUAAUUUAAACAUCUUCCCAUUUUUUUGUUAUUAUAUAUUUUCAGAUAUGGAAUUGUAAUUUGAAUUAACAUUCAUCAUAUGUAUAAAGUAUGUUAUGAUAGAAAUUAUUUAUGUACUUUCGUAUGAUUUUGUUAGACAUGUUAAAAACUCAAGACAGUACAAAACAUAUGUCCUUUCACUUAGCCUCAACUAACAGUUAUGCUCUUAAAUAUUGGUGUGCACAAGUAGACACUUAGGGUGUGUUUGGUAUGAAGGAAAAUGUUUUCCUGGAAAACAAGUAGAUUUUGAACUUUUCUCAUGUUUGGUUGGUGAGUAGAAAAUAUUUUCCGGAAAUGAUUUUUUGUGUCUGAUUUAUGUAUGAAAAAUAUUUUUGAGAGACAUCUUUUAUUUUUACUAGAGUAAAUAAUAAUUUAUAAAAUUGAAAAUAUUUUUUAAAAAUAAUUUUUUUGGGGUGGGGGUGGGGUGGGGGGGGGGGGUAGGGGUAGGGGGUAGGAGUGAAUUUUUAUUUUUGAAGUUUAUAGUAUUUUUGAAAAACAAAAUUAAUUUUAUUGGAGGUUGGGGGUGGGUCGGGGGAAGGGGGGAGGGGGUUAGGAGUUUAAAAACAAAAAUUUUGAAGUUGAAAAUCUUUUUUAAGAACAAAAUUAUUUUUUUUGGGAGGGGGUAGGGUGGGGGAGGGGGGCUGGCUGGUGGUGGGUGGAUGGGGGUCAGGAAUCGGGUAAAAAAAUAAAAUUUUAAAAUUAAAAAUAUUUUUUAAAAAUUAUUGUUUUUCCCAAAAAAAUGUAGUUUAAAAUUGAAGCAUCUUUUUAUCAUAUCAUAUGAUAAGAGAACAUGCCCACAUUCACCUUUUAUACUUUUCUGAAUUUAGGGAUUUAGUUCCAACUUUAGUUGAUCCAAUCAACUUUAUCACGAGAACAAGCAACGUAAAGAAUUCUUGAACAAUCUUCUACUUUUUCAAUGUAUGUUCAUUACUCAGUAUGCACAUCUUUGGAAUGACCAAAUUAUUCAUGCCAACUAAGAAAUUAUUAGUACUUGUAAACUCCAAGUUUAUUAUGUCAUUUGCCUUUUUGCUUUAGUAAAUUCUCAAUUUAUUACUAUUAUAUGAGAAAAGUUCAACAAUACUCUAAGAGUAUAUUUCAAAUUUUUUCUUCCUCAAUUACUCUAUCUCUUCUAAAGGUGAGUCAUGAUCUCAUCACUAAAUAAACUACUCUGAUUAUCAGAAAAUUAUGCAUGUAAUCGUAUUAUUCGUGCCAAUAUUUUUUUUUUACAAACAUCAAGUUGCGAGAUAAUAAUCGACACACAUGAGACCAUCAAGAAGAAACAUCUAUUAGGAACAUUAAGUAUCUAAUAAUCCACUAGGUGGAUGAAUAUGUCCACAAAUAUUUGUAUACGUUCCUACAAUGCAGAGGAUUCAACCUCAACUUUCGUAUAUGAUGGUCUCACAAUUAGCUGCUAACAAUCUUUACAAGAAAACUCACUAUUAAAAAGAAUUUUUAGGUUUUCAACGGAUGUCCAUUUUAGUUUCCAUAAUUCGUCUAAACAUUAUAGACUAAUGAUUUCUCAGACAAUCAUGUCAAAUUAAGAAAGUAUUGAAAUUAGAAAACUUCUUAUUUACCAUAGAAUGUGUCUCAAUUGCACUAAUUCUUGUCCAAUACAAGCCUGAAUAUAAAACAUGAAUAAACAGUUCUCAUUCUUCAUGAAUGAAACACAAAUAUGUGAGCAUAUCAAAUAAUGAUAGCUUUAGUACCUUAUUCCAUAUUUAUGUGCAUUAUUCAAUUACUUGUCUUCUUUCAGACAUAUUAUGCACUACAACCACAUUCACUUUAUGUAAUGGAGCAAAUUCAAUAAAUUUCAUGACUUCUCGUAAAAAACACAUUAGUUUUUCUUUAGUCAUCAUUAUAUUAUCAAUAUGGUGCAUUGAGACUCACAUUCAAUGUCUUAUCUAUAUAAAAGUGUCUUAGGCAUAAAUCGAUGGAUCUUGAACCCAAUAUCUUAUCAUCAUGGUGUAUCAGGACUUUAACCCAAUGUUUUACCCUCUUUUUGCGAUUGGACAUAAAUCCACCGUCUUAUUCUUUUGGUGCGAUAAAACUUAAAUCUAUCGUCUUACCCAUAAUGAGGCUCAACCUCAAGCCUUCAAAAUAAUUGUAAUUUUAUCACUUUUGAAGAUAAUUAAUAUGAUCGUAUAUUUUAAUUACACACAAAAUUGAGAUUAUUGAUUUAUUAUAAUCAACAUUAGUAGUUAAUAAAUAUAGCUUAAUAGAUCACAUGCCCCAUAUAAAGGUUGAAAACAUACAUUUCACUAAAUUUUGCUUAUUUAAUAUUAAAAUAAAUUAAGGAAUUCUCUUUCGAGCCGAUCAAAAUUAAACGUAUAUAAAAUCGACAGGUCUCUUUAAAUACUUACUUUAGAUGAUACCUCCAGAUCUGUUACAUAAAUAAUUGUAAUAUAAAGAUAAAUCAUACCUUGAAGAUAUAAGAAUCUUAUUGCAUAACUUAUGCAAGAUAUCUUUUGCACUUUUCCCGUCUUCUUCAUCAUUCUUUAAGAAUAGAACAAUCGUGCUGAUAACGUGUUAUGAAACUAUAUGAAAUUAGAAGAAGAAAGUAGAGAGAAGAGAAAAGAUCUCUUAUUUAUAGUAUAUUCAGGAUUCUUAGAUCUUUCACAAAUCUUAUUUACAAUGAAAGAAAACCCUUUAUUUAUAGGUAAAACCUUACUUGGUCCCCAAGUAGGAAUCCUAACCAUAUCCUAAAAGUACUCCACAUAAUUAGACAUUCACUAUAAUACAAAUUGUUUAUAAUAGGAGGAGAGUUUUGAAAAAUGUUUUCCUUAAUUUUUGAAGGAAAGUCAUUUUUCUUAAUUUUGAGAAAAAUGAGUUAAUUUGAAAAAUAUUUUCCAAAACUUUUGUACCAACCAAACAUGAGAAAAUUGGAAAAUAUUUUCCUUCAUACCAAACACACUCUUAAACUUGAACAAAUAGACACACAUUCUAUGUGCCUCCUACACGUCAAUUUGCGUCAUAUGGUGUGUCCAUGUUUAUUAUGUCAUAUAUGACUUAUGUGUCUACUAGUUCAACUUUCUAUAAUUUUAAGUGUCAACAUGUAUGCACCCAAAGUAGGAAGACAUUAAUGUGAAGUGAGGCCAAGUUAAAUGACAUACCUAUAUUUAACAAGAUUUCAAGACAUAUGUAGUGUGGGUGUCACUUACAAUGGUGAGACGUCUGUACUUUUCUUGAGGAUGCUACAGAACUUUAGGAAACUUCCUUUCUUUCUUCCUAAGUGAUAUAACUUGAUUCCAUUUGGUAUCUUAUGAUCCGAAUAGGUAUCUAACCUUCUUCAUUCUUCUAUUUGCAAAUGGUUGAUACUAGACAUAAUGGAGUGAAAGUACAAUUUCUAGUGGCAGAAUCGACAUUCAGAUGUUGAGGUAGAAACAGAGGUAGGGGAAGGCACAGAGGGAGGGAAACAUCCUCCAAGAUGGAGCUGUGGUGGUGGUUGGGCCAAGGCCAACAACCUCUCUCCCACUACAAGAUCAUGUGGAGGAAGAGUUUGAGAUGUAAAUCGAGAAGGAUGUUGGGCUAGCGGUGGAAACACAAGUUUAGGGUUCAUGUCUUCCUCCUAUAUCUUCGGAAAUGGUUCAACAAGUGUUAAAAUUUCUAAGUGGGUUGGGAGGAUUUGUAACCUCCCCCACUAUGUCGGCUACUCAAGCACCAGUUACUAAUUUUAUUACUUCUUCAUCCCCAAGAAUGAAUAAGGCUAAGGUACUAUGUGUUUUCCAUUCAUUGUUGGGAGCUAUGCUAAAUUGAAUUGAACAUGAACCAUUAACUAAGCAUUCUGAAAUGGAAGCCUCUAGUGUUCCAUGUACAGAGCUUAAGGAUUACACAAAUUGGGUAUCAUAAAUCAGCACAGGUAGAGUUACUUACCUUCAUGUUGCAGGGUGAAGCCAAACAAUAGUGAAGGGCUUAUGUGGAGUGCCAUGCAUUAGUUUUGCCUCCAUUGACUUGAACUUAGUUCCAUGCCCUAUUCCUUGAGAAUUAUGUUCUCGAACUCUCCGAGAUUAUAAGAAGGAUUAGUUGUUGGCUCUUGCGCUAGGUAGCAUAUAACAACUUAUGAUGCUAAGUUUCAUACUUUCUCUCGCAACACUACUCAACAUGUUAGUAUUAAAGACGAGAGUGUUUUUCUUUAUGUGAAUAGUCUAAAAACUAAAGUGCAUGUCUUAUCUAUGCACAUGCCUUCGACAAGAAAGAUCUUCAAUGAGGUAAUAGACUAUGUGAUGAAAUCUGAAGAAGUUAGGUAGGUUAGGUAAGACAAAUCAUUGGCUAAGAGGUCUGAGAAUAUGAGCAAAUACAGUGGUUCCUUAUUCAAAGGUGCUAGUUAGUAGUUGUAUUAAGCUCAUCUGAUUCAAUUAGCGUUACUAGCUUCUUAGGGUAGUUAUUCAUGGGUCACAUAGUAGUCUCUGGAUCAAAGUGGUCAAGCAUCUUCUUAUUUGUUAGUCAUUUUGAUCUUACUUGACUGAGAAUAUUUCAACUAUGGUGAGAUGGUUCAAUUCAAAUGAGAAUGCUCUCAUAAAUUGAUAGGUAACCCGAUACAACAAUAUACUAAAGUUGUAGUCCUAGCAAGUGGAUACGGUAAUGGAAGAGCAGGACCAAAGAGUGGUCAUGGUAAGAUCCAGAGAGGCCGUAUAGGGUAGAGGAAAUGAUAAUUAUGGGAGGGGAGUGGGGCAUCCAGGUAGAGGGGUUCUCCGGAAUGAUGAUAGAGAUUAGUGUAACACCUUUUCAAGUAAGACUUAGGUUGAGGCAUCAUUUCUAAUGAUGACAAGUAUUGUUCUUGUCUUUGAGUGAAUGACUUAUAUCUUAUUUGAUAUGGGUUCCAAGUAUUCAUAUAUUUUUAUUAAAUUUGCAUUUGAACCUCACUUGAUUGUGGAUAUCAUUUACGCCCCAAUUAUGUUUCUACCACGAUUGGGGAGUCGGUAGUAGCAACCCAUGUGUAUUAUGCUUGUUCUAUGAUAUAUAUAUAUAUAUAUAUAUAUAUAUGAAGGUCUACACAUGGUUAGAUUUGACCAUUUUGGAUAUGCGAAAUUUCAAUGUGAUAUUGGGUAUGACUUGGUUGUCAUCUUAUUAUUUUGUGCGAAAUUGUAAUGCUAACACAGUAAGUCUAAACUCCCUAGUAGGGAUAUAAUGGAGAGGAAAGGUGUAUAUAACACUUAAUAUGAAAAGAUCAUAUCUUUUGUUCGGGCUAAAAGACUAGUGGGAGGUUUUCUUUUGUCCCACUUAGCUCUAUCUAGGAUAUUAGUCUGGAGUCCCUAUAUAUCGAAUCAAUAUCAGUGAUUCGUAAUUUCUAGAAGUAUUUCUACGGAUGUGUAUGGUAUGCCUUUGGAUAGAGAAUUUGAUUUAUUUAUAGAUUUGGAGUCGGGUACUCGCCCAAUCUCUAUUCCUUCUUAUCAAGAUUCAACUUCAGGAAUUCUUAGAUAUGGUAUUCACUUGUCUCACUACUUCACCUUGGGGUGCUCUGGUCUUGUUUGUGAAGAAGAAGGAUGAUAGUGUUUGCAUUCAAGAUCUAGCGACACUGUCUUUGUAGUCAUAAGUGUGUACUGCUUACAAAUCAUCACAACUUACAACAUAUGUUUACUUAGAGAUUUAAAUUUGAGGUAGAAGAGGUAGAUGGAGUUGUUAAAAGACUAUUAUGAAACCAUGUAGUACCACCCAUGCAAGGACAACGUGGAAGUAGAUGCAUUGAACCAGAAGACAAUUGGCAUAGGCAGUUUGGCUUGCUUGGGGUGCAUACGUGACGCUUAAUUAGAGAGACUAAAACUCCAACAUCUAAGUUCAUGCACUUGGGAAUUUCAAAAAAGGGUGGGUUGUUGGUCAGUAGUGAUAUUAAGCACAGUUCUAUAGAGAAAAUCAAAGCUAGAAAGUCUGAAAAUGUAGAUGCUACACAGGAUGAAGAUGGAGUCCUCAGUUUAGAGGACAUAUUUGGUGUUCCUAGGGUUUGUGAAUUUAAUUUUGAAAGGUUUUAAUCGAGUCUCAUGGUUCAUGGAAUUGAAUUCAUCUGAGUGUAGCUAAAAUAUAUCGAGGCUUGAGACAACUUUAAUGGUAGACAUAGUUGAGUAUGUUUCUAAGUGACAUAAUUGUUAACAAGUAAAGUAUGAGCACCAAUUGUCUAGAGAUUUUAUUUAGAGAAUGUCUACACUUGAGUGGAAGUGGGAAAAAAUAGGCAUGUACUUCGUGCAACGACUCUUUAUGACCUUAGGGAGGUAUGAUGUAAUUUGGGUCAUUGUUGAUAAAUUGACUAAACCAGCCAUUUAAUUCCAAUUUGAGUGGAUUAUAAAUCCUAUAAGUUGGCUAAGAUAUAUGUAAAAGAGAUAGCACAGUUUCACAUGAUGCCCCUUUAUAUCAUUUCAGACAAAAGCACUCAAUUUACUUCAAUGUUUAUGGUAAGUUAAGUGAAGCAUUAGUACUCAAUUAAAUUUUAGCAUAAUUUUCAUUCUUAUACAAAUAACUGUUGGAGAGGAUAGUUCAUAUGCUAGAGGACAUGUUAUAAGCAUGUAUCAUUGACUUUGGAGGUUACGUUGUUGGGACCAGUCUUACCCUUAUGCGAGUUUGCAUACAGAAAUAAUUAUUGAAGUUGUAUUAAUAUGACACAUUUGAAGCACUUUAUGAAAGGGGAUUGUAGAUCCCUUACAGGAUGAUUUGACAUUGGGAUGUGAAGCAUGUGGGUGUGGAUUUGGUAAAAGGAAGAUCAAGAUAAGGUAAUAGGCAUCCCAAUUAAACUUUUGGUAGCCUAAAGCAGACAAAAUGAGUAUAAGAAUUACAAGAUAAGAGACAUGACCUUUCAAGUUGGUGAAUAGGUAUUAUUGAAAUUGUCUCCAAUGAAAGGAGUGAGGUUUGGCAAGAAGGGUAAGCUUAGCCUCAUAUUGUUGGUCCAUUUAAAGUUCUUGACAGUGUGGGACUGGUUGCUUGCAGAUUAGCUUUCACACCUAGUUUCGUUGAGACAUCUUGUGUUCAAUGUAUCAUGUUGAAGAAUAACUAUGACUUGGUAAUAAAUUGUCAAGUGAGAUUCAAUCAUGUUAGAUAAUGAUCUUCGGUACAAAGAGAAGGUGAUUGAAAUGCUUGAUCGAUAUGUACAGAAAUUAAGGUCUAGAGAACUCAGAUUAGUGAAGGCUCAAUGGAAGCAUAUUUUAGUUGAGGAAGCCACGUCUCAGGAAAUCGAGAGGGAUAUGUAGGACAAGUACCUCUACUUGUUUGAGGAUUCAAGUACUACUUUCUUCUUGACUUAACCUAACUUUUCUUGUUUGGUAGCUCGAGAACGAGAGGCGGAUAAAUUCGUAUCUAUUGUAACGAACCCUCUAUCUUUGAUGGAUUAAUCAAUGAUAAAAUAAUUUAAGUAAGAAAACUUCUAGAGCAGUGACUUGAAAAUUCUAGGCUAGGCUAUAGCCUUUGAUGAAAUUUGAGCAAGGUGAGGUCUAGGGAAAUCUGGAAAGUAUUCGAUAAACUAUCUAAUCUAAGGCUUGUUUUUUUAUUAGCUAAGACAUUACUUAGUCCGUAGGACUUUUCAAAAUUGAUUUGGGCGAGUAGAACUUCAGAUAUCGAACUUGGUGUGAAUGGAUUAGUUUAGAAUGUCAAGGUGCGAAGGGGUAUUACAAAAGGGAGACUUUUAGGGAGAAUUCCAAAGUUUAUGUUUCUUGCAAGCUACUAAGUGGGUUAAGUUGUAGUUUAUGCAGUAUUUGCUUUAAAUCGCUCAUUAUUCUGGAAAACUCAAUUUUUGAAGAAAAAAAGGGUCUCCUAAGCGGUUUCUUUAAGUUUUCCCUAAAUUUCCUUGAUAAAGGUACGUAAGUCACUUCCCUAUCUUGAUAUUUGAUUAUUAGGCCUCAAAAUCCCUCGUAAGUUAAUCUCAAGCGGGAGUUUUUUUUAAAAAAUAAUGGUCGAAAAUAUCCUGGUUUGGGUGGGAUAAUCAUGAAACUGAGCUUGAAUUAGGAUUAAGCAAUACUUCUAGUAUAAUUAGGCCAAUUUGGGUUAAUUUUGUGCAUUUUCAUUAUUUGUAGACCUACUUCACUAAAUAAAUAUAAAUACACCUCAAUCUGCAACAUCAUAUAAGAAGUGGUUCAAACUCUUGUCGGAGCAUGAGACUCUUAAUAAAAAGUUGAGAAACGUGUUUAAAAUACCCUAUAUUUGGCAAGAGAUAUGAGGUGUACUUCACUCAUGUUGCAUAGUUUAGUUAAUCUAGUAAAGAAGUGUUAUUAAGACUGUAAAUAAUUUGGGAAUAAAACUAACCUUUCAUGCCAAAUUUAGUGAUGGCUUAUCUCUAGAGGUGACUUUUAGAGAAGAGAAGACCAAGUUUAAUCACAACAUUACCACAUUUGUAACCUUUGAAAUUCAUUCACAUAACCAAUGUUUAAACUAGAAAAUCUUACUUACUUAGAGCUUAAAUUAGAAAAUAGGUUUAUUAUUUGUCGGUACGUCAAAAAUAAAUUAAUAAUAUUUAAAUAUAUGUUUAAAUUGAUAACUUUUUUUCCUUUAAAUUUUUCUAACUCACUUUUUAAAAUAUUUAACAAACUCUGAUUAUUAAAUUAAGAAGAAAUUAUGAAUUUUUUUAAAAACCAGAAACACCACAGUGUUCUUAUUAAGUUUUAAAAAUUACAAUUUUAAAAAAAACUAUACCAGACAAGAGAUUAAACCAUAAAACUGCACUAGAAAAAUAUUAUCGAACACAGAAGUAGAUAUAAAAUAAUAGAAAUUGGAAAAAACUAUAGAAAUUUUACUAAAAAUAUCCACGAUAGUGGUGUGUGGGCUUGUGUCUAUCAAAAUAAAAUAAAAAUAUAGUGUUCUAUUUCGGGUUUGGACCCGGAACACUUUUAGUCAAAUGGGUAUCCAGUUGGACAAGUUUUAUAGGAAAAGUAUGUUUUAUAUAUAUAUAUAUAUAUAUAUAUAUAUAUAUAUAUAAAACAUACUUUUCCUAUAAAACAUGUCCAACUGGAUACCCAACCGAUUCGAAGAUAUCAAUUUCUGCGAGAUAAGCUCACUGUUGUGGGCAUACAACUUCACCUGACAUCGUUAAGGGGUCGUUUAGUAGAGUGUAUAAGAAUAAUGCUAAAUUAAGUGUAUUAGUAAUGCUUGCAUUAGCAAUUCACGUAUUAGUUAUGUAACGUGCAUUAGUUAUACACAAAUUAUUUUUAUGCAUUGUUCGGUUUGAUGUAUAAAAAAUAACAUGUGUUGCAUAAAAAGUUAAUUUAAAAAGAUACUCUCCAUUACUAUGGUAGAAAAGAUGUAAAAAAAGUUUUGAGGGACAUUUGGAUCUUUAAUCAUUUUAAUGCAUGCAUUAAAACCAUUGCAUUGCUAAUACCAAGAAAUCCUUGGUAUUAACAACACACACUUUAAUACACAAUAGAGUGUAGAAAAGAGUAUCAAACAAGAUACUAGUAAUGCAUAAGACUAAUACUUGCUUAUUUUUCCUAAUACACUCUACCAAACGACCCCUUAAGAGUUUGAUGUCCUUUAUUUUCCAGACCUAUUGUCCUACUAGGAGUAUAUCACAUCUGUAGCCAUUUAAUAUGUACGUGUAUGUUAUAAUUGAGUAUUCCUCCAACUCUUACACAUAUGUCUACUCCUAUUUAUUGGGUUUGAAAGUAAUCAAGACAUCAUGUGGAAGCUUAUGAUUCGUAAUCUUAUACUUUGUAAAUCAUAUGUCUAUAAAUUAGACGAUACAUAAAAAUAUAUUACAACAAACAUAUAUUAUUAUAUAACAUGACAAAAUUGAGCUACAUAUUUAAAAACUAAUAAAACAUAAAAAUUGUAGAGAGAAAAUUUCCUCAUCAACAAAAGUUUUUAAACAACUAAAUUGCACAUUCUAAUGUUUUAUGCUAUGAGAAUAGAAAUCUUCAAUAUAUGGAUCUCUAAACAUUUCCUCUAAACAUUUCCUAUAAGGGAUAACCAAAUAUGGAAGAGAUUUAUUUUUUCCUUUUAGGAAAAGUAAAAGCAAUUAUGAUACUUUUCUUUCAGGAACAAGUAAUACUCAAAUAUGAAAAAAAGAGAGGGUAAAACCCUAAAACUACCAAGGUUUGAGUCUAACUGUAUUCUGUUAUUGUGUUCAAGCCUAACUCAGAGUCACAAAAAACUACACAUAAGAUAAUAAUCCUUCCUUAUUCAACUUACGUCUUUCGUUCUAUAUGAUGUUUAUCUUGCAUCAAACACUUUCGAUGGGAAAAUCAAGAGCAUUUGUAUGUACCACAAAUAUCUUAGUAAAGUUGGGCAAUGCCAAGACUAGGUCCUCCGUCAUAGUUGUCUAAAGGCCUUCAAGUGCCUUUUGACGAUGUUCCAUCCAAACCCACAAGUUGUUCUUCUUUAGCAAGUUGGUCUAUGGUGCUGCUUUGGUUGAAUAUCCACUCAUGAUGAACCAAUUAUAGUAGUUACCAAGACAAAGGAAGGAGGUCAACUCAAUUACCUUUGUACAUGCCUCCCACUCUUGGAUAGCUUGUACCUUCGCCUCAUCCUCAUGCUAUCUUUUCGUUGUUGACAGCAUGGCCUAAGAAGUGUAUUUUUGAAAGUUCAAACUCACACUUCUCCCUAACUCAUUCUCCCACAAGAAUUGGAAAACAUUCCUUUAAGUGCACGACAUACUUGUCAAAGGUGUUAUUGUAGAUGCCUAUUUAAAAUGCGUAGACUACCACGAGCUGAUUAAGAUAGGGAUAAAAGGUCUUGUUUAUGAGGGUUCAAAAUGUAACUUGUGUAUUGGCUAAGUUGAAAGAAAUUAUCAACCACUCGAAGGCUCCAUAUCUCGUCACACAUGUUGUAUACUCUUGUUACGCCCCGAGCUACCCCCGAGAUGCGAACACGGAAUCUAGAACCACAAGUGAUGCCAAGCUAACCCUGUUGGCAUUAUCAUGAGCAUACUAAAGAAAAUAAACUUAUGAGGAAGUUAAAUAAUAAUUCAUAUAAAAAGAUGAGAAAUACUCAUAUACUAUAACUGAGAUAAAUGAAGUAUUGAUGAGUUUAAUACAAAGAAGAUAUUAACUCACCACUAAGUUGAAACUAACUAUGUCUGAAAAUAGCCUCUAAAUUGACUAGAAAUGCUGGGACAGGCCCCAGCUAAGUCUAGCAAAAACUGAAACUAAAAAAUUAAAUACUGAAAAGGAAAUCAUGACUAUUGUCCUUGGAGAAUGAGGGUUCACCACUGAAUCUGCCGAACUGGAGAUCGGGAAUCGAUCUAAGCGUGAUCUGCAUGCUGAGAAAUAGAACCUACAUCACGAGAAGAUAUAGCGCACGUAUCCGUCAGUAUUUGAAGCAAGUGAGCAUGUAGGAUAGGGUAAAGCUGAAACAAAACAUAACUGAACAAGCACAAAAACAAGUAUAAUAAUCUGAACAUAAUAUACUGAAUUUUGAGCUAACUGGAUGCAAUGACCAAAUUUAUAACAUGCUGAGACUAAAUAAUAACUUAAUUCUAAAUAUGGUCAAUGCAUUAAAGUGUCUGACUGAACUUUGGGAGCUACUAAUAACCGAUAAUAAAACCAUGUGAGGUAAAUGUGGAGUAUGAUGUAUACGCCCCAUCGAGAGGACCCAAUAUACCCUGCCAGAGGUAUAAAGGCACGCUAGUGUAAUCACUAAACUGAUUUCCCACAGAGAGGACUUACAACCUAUUUGGCUAGUAGUUUUGAAACUAAUUGGAUACGCUAAACCUGGUCCAACUCAGUAUUAUGCUACUCCCAAAUUAUAUAACUAACUGAUUACGACUGAGUUUUCUUUAAAUAUUGGAUAGCUCAAGCUGCACAUGCAAACUGAGAAUGCAAUAAUAAAUCUGGUAAUUAUAUAUUUAUAACUGAGACAUGUAUAUCUGAAGUAACUGAAAUAUCUGACCUAGCAUGUGUAAUUCAAGAACUAAAGAAAUACAUCGAUAGGGUGCUGAAAUUCAUGCAAUAAUCUGAGUGAUAACAUGAUAAUCUGAUUUGGAACAUAUAACUAAUAAAUUCAUGAAGUUUUAUUGAAGUUCUAGAAACCCUAGGCCUAAUCAUGAUAUGAGAAUCAAGAAUCUGACUGAAAACUAGGGACCCAAUGGGUAAAAGGAAUCCACUAGUGAAAUCCCACAUACCUGGUGAUGAAAUCAAUGGAUAAAAUAUUUAAAUUUCGGAGAUAGAACUGAGGGAACCUUGCUGCGUUCUUGAACUAGGGUUCUUGACCUUUUUCUCUUUUCUUGCUUCUAAUUUUCUAAAUUUUGAUUUAUGAUUUUGACUUAGGUAAUUUUUAGUUAGUUUCUAGGCUUAAACUGACUAAAAUCUGAUAAUUUAGAGUCAAAACGGCGUAUCUUAGGGUUUAAACAGAGUGGGAAAAGACCAAAAGACCCCUGAGUUAAUUGUUGUCGGACUAAACGACGACCUUGACUAACGGGCCGUUGUUCAAUCGGUUGUCCGUCGUUUUGGUCCAUAGGUUGGGUCUGUUUGACAUGACUUUACUAAAACGGACAUAACUUUUUACUCGGAGGUCUGAUUUUAGAAAACUCGGUGGAUAUCAAAAUCUAAUUCAAUUAUCUAUCAUUUCAUAAGUCACAGGACACCUAAUAAAAUUUGUGCUAAGAGUUAUGAUCAUUUGAGGUUGACCCAAGUGUAUUUUUUCCUAGGUCCGUCCAUCAUUCGACACUUAGACAAAUUUUUUAGGCUGAGUUUUUGGGGGCUUCCGACUCAAACAACGGAUGCACAGUACGGGCCGUAGAUCAGACUAUGAUCCGUCGAUCAUAACUGUUGGUUGCACCUGCAGAUUUCUGAAAGGUUGAUUUCUGGUCUAUAUUAGAUAUUGGGUGUCACAUUAUUCCCCCCUUGGGAACAUUUGUCCCCGAAUGAAGACUAAACUAGCUGAAAUAGAGGGAGAGAGAUUCAAUCCCUACUACUAAGCACUGAGAACUGUGUUUCUGACUAAAUUGAGUUUCGAGAACAUGCAAAUACGCUGAAAAUGCAAGUACAAACUGAGGGAACAUGAUUCUAAGACUGAAUUCACGCAUGAAUAACUGAAAACUGAAGAGGAACUACUAUCUCAAGCGAGAGUGGAAUCGGAAGGAAAGACGUGAGGAUAAAUGUCUUUCAUGGCUGCUUUUGCUUCCCAAGUAGCUCCCUCUACAAACUGAAUCCUCCUCAAAACCUUAACUGAAGCGACUUCUUUGUUCCUCAACCUUCUAUCCUAACGGUUAAAAAUCUCAACUGGUACAUGCUCAUAAGAAAGACUAUCUUUCACCGCUACACUCUCUAAUGGCACUACAGAGGAUGGGUCACCCAAACACUUUUUCAAAAGCGAGAUGUGGAAGACUGGAUGUACUGUUGCUAGUUCUGCUGGCAAAUAUAACUCAUAGCCACCUUGCCAACCCUUUUCAAGAUCUUGUUAGGGCCUACAUAUCUAGGAAUGAGUUUCUCUUUCUUGCCAAAUCUCAUCACUCCUUUCAUAGGUGACACUUUCAGAAAAACCCAAUCCUCAACUUGGAACUCUAGUUCCAUUCUCCUUACAUCUGCAUAAAAUUUCUGACAACUCUAGGUUGUCUUAAGCUCUCUCUAAUGAGUUGCACUUUCUCCAUAGCAUAAAAGACUGAAUCUGGUCCUAUCAAAGUUCUUUCACCUACUUCAAACCAACCAACAAGAGAUCUACAUCUAUGCCCAUAAAGUGCCUCAUAAGGGGCAUCUUAAUGCUGGAAUAAUAGCUAUUGUUGUAGGCGAACGCAAUAGGAGGAAGGUGAUCAUCCCAACUACCCUUGAAAUCAAUCACACAAGCUCUAAACAUAUCCUCUAGGUCUUGAAUGGUACGUUCUGCCUGUCCAUCUUCCUGUGGAUGAAAUGUUGUGCUAAGGUUAACUUGAGUACCAAGACCCUUCUGAAAUGACUUCCAGAAUUGAGAGGUAAAUUGAGGACCUCUAUCCGAGAUUAUAGACAAAGGAACUAUAUGUAACCUCACAAUUUCAUUAAUGUGAAGCUUGGCAUAGUCCUCUGCCAAAUAUGUAGUCUUGACAGCUAAAAGCGAGAAGACUUAGUAUUCUAUAAACUAUCACCCAAAUGGAGUCAUGUUGUCUGCGAGUACGAGGUAACCCUAUGACGAUAUCCAUAUUUAUCACAUACCACUUCCAAGUAGGAAUAUCGAUCUCUUGAGUCAUACCUCGUUGUUUCUGAUGUUCUACCUUGACUUGCUAGCAAUUGUGGUGUUUACUCACAAAAUCUGCUAUAUCCCUCUUCAUGCCAUCCAUCAAUAGACUUCCCGCAGAUCGUGAUACAUUUUAGUGGAACCUGGAUGAAUAGAAUAUCUGAAGUUAUGGGCUUCUGCAAGGAUAUGCUUUCUCAACUCACCCACAUCAGGAAAAUACAAUCUACCCUGGUAGCGAAGUACACAAUAUCCCCCGUUGGGAGAAAACCUGCACUCUCUAAUUGUGGACUGCACCCUUAAGUUCAAUCAAGAUUGGAUCACUAUUUUGCUUUUCCUUAACCUUUACUGCCAAAGAAUAUUUUUCCCAUUCUGAACUGUUACACCACUAUCUGAUAUGCUCAUAAGGAGAACUCCCAAGAGAGCAAGCCUGUGAAUAUAUUUCACUAGAUCCUUUCUUUCUUCCUCAACAUGGGCUACACUAACCAUACAUAAUCUGUUAAAAGCAUCUGCUACUAAAUUCGCCUUACCACGAUGAUAAUGUACACUCAUAUCAUAAUCCUUAAGGAACUCAAGUUAUCUCCUCUGGCCAAGAUGCAACUCUUUUUGGGUGAACACAUACUGAAGGCUCUUAUGAUCACUGAAUACAUAUACAUGAACACCAUACAAGUAGUGUCUCCAGAUAUUAAGUGCAAACACCACUGCUGCAAAAUCGAGGUCAUGAGUUGGAUAGUUCUUCUCAUGCACCUUAAGUUGUCUAGAAGCAUAAUAUAUAACCUUAUCUCGAUGCAUCAACACACAACCUAGGCCAACACUAAAUGCAUCACAAUAUAUCACAUAACCAUCUGAACGCUCUGGUAGACUCAAGAUUGGAGUUGUAGUCAAUCUAGUUGUCAAUUCUGUAAAACUUUUCUCAUAAUCACUGACCAUCGAAACUUGACCAUCUUCUGAGUUAACCUAGUCAAUGGUGAGGUUAUAGAUGAGAAUCCUUCCAAAAACCUUCUGUAAUAACCUACUACACCUAAGAAACUUCUGAUAUCUGAAGCAGAGGUAGCUCUGGGCCAUUUUUUCACUGCUUCUAUCUUGUGAAUCCACUCGGAUAUCUUCGCUAGAUACAAUGUGACCAAGGAAAGCAACAGAUUGCAACCAUAACUCACAUUUGCUAAACUUAGCGAAUAACUGGCGAUCUUUAAGAGUCUGCAGAACAACUCUCAGAUGACUCGCAUAUUCUUCCUCAUUCCUAGAGUAAAUGAGGAUAUCAUCAACAAAGAUGAUAACGACCAAGUCCAAGUACUGUUUAAACACGCUGUUCAUCAAAUUCAUGAAAGCUGUAGGAGUAUUGGUUAGUCCGAACGACAUAACUACAAAUUCAUAAUGACCAUACCGAGUUCUGAAGGC
rnacentral:lncRNA from 1 species